rnacentral:rRNA from 1 species
UACGAAGGGGGCUAGCGUUGCUCAGAAUCACUGGGCGUAAAGGGUGCGUAGGCGGGUCUUUAAGUCAGGGGUGAAAUCCUGGAGCUCAACUCCAGAACUGCCUUUGAUACUGGAGAUCUCGAGUCCGGAAGAGGUGAGUGGAACUCCGAGUGUAGAGGUGAAAUUCGUAGAUAUUCGGAAGAACACCAGUGGCGAAGGCGGCUCACUGGUCCGGUACUGACGCUGAUGUGCGAAAGCGUGGGGAGCAAACAGG